GAAAGGGUAAGUUAAACUUAAACUAUUUGGCUCAUACCCAAACAAUACACUUUUAGUGUUCCUUUUA
rnacentral:tRNA from 1 species